CAGUCGCCGCGGUAACACAGAGGGUGCAAGCGUUAAUCGGAAUUACUGGGCGUAAAGCGCGCGUAGGUGGUUUGUUAAGUUGGAUGUGAAAUCCCCGGGCUCAACCUGGGAACUGCAUCCAAAACUGGCAAGCUAGAGUAUGGUAGAGGGUGGUGGAAUUUCCUGUGUAGCGGUGAAAUGCGUAGAUAUAGGAAGGAACACCAGUGGCGAAGGCGACCACCUGGACUGAUACUGACACUGAGGUGCGAAAGCGUGGGGAGCAAACAGGAUUAGAUACCCCUGUAGUCCCUGUCUCUUAUAC
rnacentral:rRNA from 1 species